CAAGGAAGCAAGCAAGGAAGCACCACUAAAGAAAAAUAAAGAAGUUGUUCAUUCCCAGUCCGCCUCCGAUUCUUUCCUGUGGUCUCGUUGCUGCAGGCGGCAACAAGUGGUGGCCCGUUCAGGGAAUUUGGCACAGUGGUGUCCAGGAAAGUGUCGCUGAAAGUGCAGAAGCCUCAGGAGAAGUACAAGAGCGAGAAUCUGUUAAAUAAGGAGAACAAGGUAAGGAGAACAAGGAACCUCCCAAUGCCAGUUUUAGCCAAUGUGGAAGACCUGCCUGUGGUGUCUCGACGCAUUGAACAACCUUACCGGUAGUGUGACCAUGGCUCUUCAAACACAGGAAACCAUAAAUCAACAUCUUCGUUCUGGUAUAGUCAUACUCAACCAAUGUGUUGAUCUUCUCCAAGAACAAGUGGAUAUUUUGAUGGACCUUGCUGCAUCAGGAUGUCUUGGACAUUAUUCAGGACUAUGUCUUACAGGGGUUCAAUACCAUAAUUAUAGCAGGGCUGCCAAUUUAUCAAGACAACUUAGUGCUAUGCUUAAUGGAUCUUGGAACUAUCAGUUUGAUAAUCUCACCAGAUCACUAUGAGCCCAAACAAUCUUAGUAAAUUCUACUAAAGUCAAGGUACCCUCUGUUGCUGAUAUAAUUAUGUUUUUUAAAGAUAUUGUACAAUGGGGUCAAAAAUGGGCAGGCAUUAUGGGGUUCUGUUUAUUACUUCUGUUGUUCAUUGUGUUAGCAUUUUAUUGCAUGUGUAAGAUGCGCCUAAGCCAACAAAGGGAUAAGAUCAUUGUAAAAAAUGCACUUGCCGCCUUAGAAGCUGGAACUUCUACUCAGACUUGGCUGUCUCAAAUGGACGGCUGGUAGUCAAAGACGGGAAAGUCUCAUGUGACUGACUUAUCAACCUAAGACAGGAGCCAAGAUGAUAACAUCAAGCUUCUUGGUAAUCCGAUGAUGGGUAAGAAUGUCAGUAAGACAUGUGGACGCCUAAGACAGGCACAGUUGAUCCAGAUGUAGGUAUAACACACCCAUUAAAGUUUUCUCUUCACCUUUUAAAACAAAAAGGGGGAGAUGUAGAGGCAUGCUUGUGGCUGUUUGGGGAGGAGACUCUACGCACAUGUGCGCGGGAGGACGUGCCCACCUGCUGGCGACCGAUGCCUCCUCCUCCGCCCUUAUGCGCUGCACUGCCCACCCCCCUUGCGCCUCGGCCCCAGCAACCUUGUGUGUGAGGUGUCUGACAACGGAGCACAUGGGAGCGUUUGUGCAAAGUUAACUCCUGGAAGUUGCGGGAGCAUGAGGAGCCAUUAUGGGCUGCGCGCCCUCAGGCCAGAAGGGCCGGGCUCCGGCGCAGCAGCCUCCUGGCCCUGAGCAAAGGGCUGCGGCUGCUGGCAUGCCUGGAGGCCACAGGCAAGAGCAGCGUGCUGCUGGAGGCACGCGGCUGCAGCGACUGCCUGCUCUUCGAGGCCGGCAGGGUGGCCACGCUGGGCGGAGCUGGUGUUGGCACCAAGGCAUCUACUUGGGGAGAAAGGCAAGCAAGGAAGCAAGCAAGGAAGCACCACUAAAGAAAAAUAAAGAAGUUGUUCAUUCUCAGUCCGCCUCCGAUUCUUUCCCUCGGUCUGGUUGCUGCAGGCGGCAACACUCUUCCAAUUUUCUCAUCUGCCAUGAGAAUUGUCCAAGUCCCACAUA